rnacentral:lncRNA from 1 species
AAGUGUUGAGCAGAGGCAGAUGUUAAAAUCACUCCUGCAGGAAGGCCCAGGGAUGAGAUUAACAAUACUGAACAUGUCCUUGUUUUAGGUAUGAAAGUCAACACCUGUAUUUUGGGUCUAAGUACAUGAGACACAAUGGUGGACAAUCUAUACUGAGAGCCUCAAUUCUUCCUGUAGACAGUGUCUCCUCAGUGGAGUAAAAGCCUCACGGUGUGUUGAAUCUUGGUCUGAGAGUCGCCAACCCACUGGUGGACCGGAUCCACUUACAAGAGUCAAUGUUCAAACUUUCAACUGUCUCCAGCUGUGAGAUUCAGAACCUCAACAGUGAGUUGUGUUCAUGUGUGUGGAUGACAAUCUUUAUUGUGGGAUGGGGGUGCAUAUGAGUGUUACAGUCUCAUCUGUGUACUAGGCCCUGUUAGGACGCUUACUGGCCUGAGGCUUUAACUGGUAUGCAUGAGAGUCACAAUUCUCUCUGAGUCCCUAUGUUGGUAUUAACCCAUGAUCAUACCUAUGGCCCUGAACCCAGGUAUGAGAACCAACAUCUCUUCAACUGUCUGGGUCCAGAUAGGAGAGUCUUCUACUGGCUAUAAGCUGGGUUAAGAAAUUAGUCAGCAUUCCAACUGUGGCUGGAUGUUUACAUAUAAUGCUCGCAAUACAAACUGCAUGCUGAGCUCAGCUGCCCCCCUCCUCUAGAAAGCCUUCCUGGGUUUCUCCGUGUCACCAUAAGAUCAUGUCUGCCUAUCUCUAACAGCUCCAACUUUUCUAGUUUGUCAUUGUCUCCCUUUGUCAUGGUGCUUUAAAUUCCCUCAGGACUGCACUGUUUGGCUUCUAGAAUGUCCCCAGAGUACAGGGCAAGGGCUGGCCCAGAUAAGGAACCCCAUGAGAGUUUACUAAGCAAAUGCUGAAUGGUGUGACUAAGCCCCCACCUGUGGUCCCCAACCACUGGCCCACCCUGCCCCAGUGACUUGCAGCUCUCCUCUGAGGAUUCCACUGUGAGGUGGUGCAGGCCUCUGGAAAGGUGGCGUGGGUCCCAUCAGGUGACCCCUGGGUGCUGGCCCUGCCAGACCACAGCAGACUGAGGAGCAGCAGCAGGCCACCUGUGCCACAACAGAAGGAACUGACCCACUGGAGCCGGGGCUGGGGUCCCCAGGCACAGGGUGUUCUGUGGGUGGGACAGCUGGCCAGGCUGGGCACGUGCAUCCCCUUGGCUCCACCAAGUCAAGCAGUGUCCCAGCCACAAGAACCACCAUGGUGCUGACCAUCAUGCAAUAGUAGAGGCCCCCAUCACACAUCUGGACACAGGAGAGAGAAGACGAAAUGGGUCACAUGAAAGGUACUGGAGACCUAGGUGUUAGUAUUUCUCUACCCUAGGUCACUUUACAACCUUGGAGAGGUCAUUUGACACCUCUGUGCCUCAGUUUCUUCAUCUGCAAAAUGGAGAUGGUGUCCCGGACUUUGCAGCACUAUUUUGAAGGUCAGAGAUAAUGGGUAUCAGCACUGCGCCUGGGACAUGGUAGGAACUAAGUGUGACACUCUAGGCCUCUCCCCAGUCCUCAGGAGCCUCAUCUACUGCUGCAUAUUAAGAUUCCCCACCCACGGCCGGGUGUGGUGGCUCACACCUGUAAUCCCAGCGCUUUGGGAGGCCAAGGUGGGAGGAUCACCGGAGGUCAGGAGUUCGAGAUCAGCCUGGCCAACAUGGUGAAACCCCAUCUCUACUAAAAAUACAAAAAUUAGCCGGGCGUGCUAGCACAUGCCUGUAAUCCCAGCUACUCAGGAGACUGAGGCAGGAGAAUCGCUUGAACCCAGGAGGCGAAGGUUGCAGUGAGCUGAGAUCACGCCAUCGCACACCAGCCUGGGGGACAAGAGCAAGACUUUGUCUCAAACAAUAAUAAUAAUAAUGAUUGCCCACCCUGAUGCCUUAUGGGAAGCUGAGAGGGAGGAGAAUGAAUACUUGUUGGGUGGACCAGGCCUGCCAGAAUCAGGGUUUGCUGGCUAUGCUCUGCCUUACUUCACGUGGUCACAAUCCCAUGAGAUCCACGCUGUUAACUCCACUGGACAAAGAAGACACUGGGACCUAGGGCAAACAGAACAUUGAAACAGAGCAUUCAAAUGUCUGAAACUGAAACUAACAACAUGGAGCAAAACUUUGUGCAAAAAGAUGUUCACCAUGCCCUUGUUUAUAAGGGUUAUCAUUUGAAAAAUGCUCAAGUGUCCAAUUAUAAAGAAAUGGGGAUGCAGGUUAUGAAGAUGAGAGCGUGAGACAGCGAGCUGUAAGGGAAGCAGGUUACCCAGGGAUGGACAGAGGAUGGGCCCUGGCCCUCAUGUUAUGAAGCUUCUCCACGUGGUGCCUUCCUCUGUCAAAUGGGCAGAAGAAUAUCCUUUUGAUAGAAUUAAAAUAUACGAAAACCAUUUAUUCUCCUGUUACAAUGAUUUUUAUUUCCACAGCAACACUUAGUACCUGCCCCCCCCUCCAGCUUGCCCUGCCCACCAACCAGGAGCGGGGCCAGCCUGGAUCUCUUCUCUGCCGCUGGCGUAGGGGCGGGGGCGGGGGACAGUGUCUUCAGCAAAAGUCUGCGGAUAGAAAGGCCCCGCUCCUGUCCGGACAGCAGGAAUGGGAGAGCCGCCUCCAACCCCAGCCCCAUGGAGCAGGGCAGAAACGCUGCCCACUGCCCUGCUCCUGCCACCAGGAAGGGCGUGUGGGGGGCCACUUUCUGUAAAGAAGAAACCGCCUGAACAACAAGUGGCUCAAGGCACCCUUGUCUAACGACCAGGGACACUGAGCGCCAGGGCCCAAGUCACCAGCAAGAGAAAACCCAGGCGGAGCCCAGGGUGUCCCCCACUGCCCACCAGCCACUGCGGUCAACGUGAAGGGCAAGGGUGCAAGCGGGAUCGCGUCACAGGGAGCCGAGUGAGCCCAGAAAGUAGGAGAAGGACGUUUCCACCCACCUGGAGCGCAGUCCGUUUGCAGCCGGCGGCAGAAUGCUGCUGUCUCCAUCAAUAAAGUCCAUGUUAGCCACCUAGAGGAUAAAAUACCACGAGGAGGAGUAGCAAGGUGCCCCUGUUGACAGAUCUUGAAGCACAAGCUCACUCCCAGAAGCACAGCUGCCUAGUCAACAAACAGCUGACAAUACAUGUCUGAAGGAGCUCAGCUGGGAACAGAAGAAUGGCCCCACUGAGCCUAGCCUAAAUGGCGGACCAUCUCAAUUAUGAGCUAAUAAGUUUUGGAUGAUUUGUUAUGCUGCCAUACCUAACUAAUACAUGCACCCAGUGCAGAUUGGGUGUCAAGAUUUAAAGACAGUUUGAUUAUUAGUCACCUUCUAACAAUGGGCACCCUAAAGGUACUGACAUUUUUCCCGAUUUAAAGUUAAAUGUCUUGUAAGGCAAUGUUGACUGAUGCAGGAAUACUUGUAGACAUGUAUGCAUGUGAUUGGUGCUUAUAUGCACACAGUCCCCCACACCACAGGAAAAAACCGAUGACCAGAGCCUGACCAUUAUGGCCAAGGCCAAAUAGCCAAAGUUUGCCUUUAAUCUAUUUUCUUCAUAUCUAAAAAUUGGAGGUCAAUACUGUGGACAGGUCUGAAGACAUAGAGUUUUGUUCUCCUGUGGCCCCAUCAUUCUUCAGUGGUCUACCUGUGGUUAUUUUAUUCUUGUUACCUUCUGCUCUUUCUAUGACCACUAUCUGUUCCACCCUUGAAACUGAAGACAGAUGUUAGUAGAAAGAGGCUGUUCCCUCAUGUCGGGCAUGUGGGAUACGAUGAGGUUUCUCUUCAAAUAGCCUGAUCAAUCUUUUAUUCUUUAAUUCAUAGUACCCACACACACACCCCUUUUUUUCCUUUUUCUCCUUUUUCCUUUCUGCCUUUGUUAGAUGCCCAGGCACGCCACAGUACCAGGCAUUAUCAGUACCAGCUCACAUUUCUUCCCUUAUUUGGAAAGAGGACUAACUUUCUAGCUCAAUGCAGACACCCCUUCCCCUUCCUCUCUGCAUUCUUUUGCAUGCCCACCUUAUCUAAAAAAAUCAAAUGUUUAGCCAACCAGGAUUAGUUCAGAUUGUACGACCCGACCCUGGCCAAUGGGGAAAGGGUACAGGGGCAGGACUUGUGUCAGGAAUAAAGGCUCUUGUGCCCCUUUGUUCAGGUGUGCUCUCAUGGUGACUGGACAAGAACGCACCCCUCUGUGCAGAACUAAAAUUGCUUUGCUAGGAAUCCUUUGUUCGAGUGUUCAAUUUCCUUAUGAUUUUGAGCGUUAUUCCUAACAGGAAGAAAAGGGAUAUUCAGGCCUUUCACAGACCUGACAACAGAGCUGCACUUCAAUGUGACAGGUAUUGACCAUGUGUGACUCCUGGGAGCCUGGAAUGUGGCUGGUCUGAGCUGCAAUUUGCAAGAAAGGUAAAAUGCAGAGUUAGUUUCAAAGAUUUAGUUCCAUAAAUAUAAAAAUAUACAACAUAUAGAUAAAAAUAUCUAUAUAUAAUAUGGAUAAAAAUACAUAGCAUAAUGCAAUAUAUAGAUACAUAAUUAUGUUAUAUAUAAAUAUAUAUCUCAUUCAUAAUUAUACAUUGCUCACAUAUUAAAAUAAUAUUUUGGAUAUAUUGCUUUAAUUAAAUUGUUACAACAGACGGAUGCAGUGUCUCACGCUUGUAAUCUCAACACUUUGGGAGGCCGAGGUGGGCGUAUCACGAGGUCAGGAGAUCGAGCCAUCCUGGCUAACACGGUGAAACGUGUCUCUACGAAAAAUACAAAAAAUUAGCCAGGCAUGGUGGCAGGCGCCUGUAGUCCCAGCUACUUAGGGGACUGAAGCAGGAGAAUGGCGUGAACUCGGGAGGCGGAGCUUUCAGUCAGCCGAGAUCGCGUCACUGCACUCCAGCCUGGUCAACAGAGCGACUCCGUCUCAAAAAACAAAAACAAAGACAAAAAAUCUCAUGCUGCCUUCUCAAAGCCAGGAAGGUUAUAAAACCUGAAAUUUCAAAAUCAUUAUUAUUAUAUUCUUUUCAUUUGUGAAUAGCCAUACAGUAUAAUAUUUAUAAAUGCAUAUAACCUUAUACACAAGAUUACAUGCAAACACCCUCUAGGGUGGGCCUGGCUCAGCUCAGGGACGAAGCCCUUUCUGAGCGGGCGGCAGCUUAGGCAGUCACUCUUUCUUCAUUCAGCCUAGCGUUUGGUCACAUCUUCUGUCAAUCACGAUGUGAGGAGGCGGGGAUUUAAGCGUUAUCCAAUCAGCAACACUGGGCUGGAAACCCUCCAAUCAGCCACGCAGCUGGAGCGGGCAAGACAGCUUCCGGAAUAUGGGGGCCUUUGUCUCCGGCUGCAGCUGGAGUUCUACGUCUAGUCUUCAGAGGCCCAGUCUCCGUGACUUUGUGACCUGCAGGUAUUGGGAGAUCCACAGCUAAGAUGCCAGGACCCCCUGGAAGCCUAGAAAUGAUGUCUCUCCUGCUGAUCACCUUCCUCCUCCUCUAAUUUGCUGUCUCUCUGGACAAUGUGAAGUUUGACCUGAGCUCCCCUCCUCACACCCUGUAUGCAUGUUCUGUCUCUGGGUCUUCUGCUGUUGUGUUCCGCUGUCGUUUUGCUUGCUGACUCCACAGAGAGUUUGUGUCCUGGUGUCCACAAAGAGUGCACGUCAAGGUCAGGAGCUCGAGACCAGCCUGACCAACAUAGUGAAACCCAUCUCUACAAAAAAUACAAAAAUUAGCUGGGUGUGGUGGUGAGCACCUGUAAUCCCAGCUACUCAGGAGGCUGAGGCAGGAGAAUUGUUGAACUGGGGAGGUGGAGGAUGCAGUGAGCCAAGAUCAUGCCACUGAACUCCAGCCUCGGCAAUACAGCGAGACUCCAUCUCAAAAGGGGAAAAAAAAAAAUAUAACUUCAAAGAUGGUUCCUGGCCAGGUAUGGUAGCUCACGCAUGUAAUCCUAGCACUUUCAGAAGACAAGGUGGGUGGAUCACUUGGGGUCAGGAGUUCAAGAUCGGCCUGGCCAACAUGGUGAAACCCCAUCUCUACUAAAAAUACAAAAAUUAGGUGGAUGUGAUGGCGCAGGCCCAUAAUCCCAGCUACUUGGGAGGCUGAAACAGGAGAAGCACUUGAACCCAGGAGGUGAAGGUUGCAGUGAGCCAAGAUAUUGCCAGUGCACUCCAGCCUGGGCAACAGAGCAAGACUUCAUCUCAAAAAAACAAAAACAAAGAAACAAACAAACAAAAAAAUGGAAUACAAAAUGAGUUUCUAACAAAAUUGAUAUUUACCACACUUUGUGUAAGAAUCUAAUAGAUUUUUCCAGCCAGGCACAGUGACUCAAUCCUGCAAUCCCAGCACUUUGGGAGGCUGAGGCGGGCAGAUCAUCUGAGGUCAGGAGUUCUAGACCAGCCUGGCCAACAGGCUGAAACCCCAUCUCUACUAAAAUACAGAAAUUAACCAGGCGUGGUUGCGGGUGCUUGUAAUCCCAGCUAUUCAGGAGAUUGCGGCAACAUAGGAGGCAGAGGUUGCAGUGAGUCAAGACUGCAUCACUGCACUCCAGCCUGGGUGACAAGAGCAAGACUCCAUCUCAAAAAAAUAAAAUACAUAAAGAUUUUUCUUUUACAGACAAACAAUGCUAAGUGAUGUAAUUCUCUCACCCAGGAAAAACGUGUGCCUCUUAUUUUAUCAAUCCAAAAGUUAUAUUGAUAAGCAAAUUCCCCAGUUAAAACCACUUUUUCAGUGCAUUAAAAAAUAAACUUUCAGCCAGGUGUGGUGGCUCACUCCUGCAAUCCCAACACUUUGGGAGGCCAAGUCACUUUGCGCGAAUCACAUGAGGUCGGGAGUUUGAGACUAGCCAGACCAACAUGGAGAAACCCCGUCUCUACUAAAAAUACAAAAUUAGCCAGGCGUGG